rnacentral:rRNA from 1 species
CGUAGGUGGCAAGCGUUGUCCGGAAUUAUUGGGCGUAAAGCGCGCGCAGGCGGUUCCUUAAGUCUGAUGUGAAAGCCCCCGGCUCAACCGGGGAAGGUCAUUGGAAACUGGGGAACUUGAGUGCAGAAGAGAAGAGCGGAAUUCCACGUGUAGCAGUGAAAUGCGUAGAGAUGUGGAGGAACACCAGUGGCGAAGGCGGCUCUUUGGUCUGUAACUGACGCUGAGGCGCGAAAGCGUGGGGAGCAAACAGGAUUAGAUACCCUGGUAGUCCACGCCGUAAACGAUGAGUGCUAAGUGUUAGAGGGUUUCCGCCCUUUAGUGCUGCAGCUAACGCAUUAAGCACUCCGCCUGGGGAGUACGGCCGCAAGGCUG